rnacentral:rRNA from 1 species
GUGCCAGCAGCCGCGGUAAUACGUAGGGGGCAAGCGUUGUCCGGAAUUAUUGGGCGUAAAGCGCGCGCAGGCGGUUUGUUAAGUCUGAUGUAUAAACCCAAGGCUCAACUUUGGGAGGCAUUGGAAACUGGGAGACUGGAGUGUAGGAGAGGAAAGUGGAAUUCCACGUGUAGCGGUGAAAUGCGUAGAGAUGUGGAGGAACACCAGUGGCGAAGGCGACUUUCUGGCCUAUAACUGACGCUGAGGCGCGAAAGCGUGGGGAGCAAACAGGAUUAGAAACCCGGGUAGUCC